rnacentral:rRNA from 1 species
AAGCGAAACUGCGAAGUGGAGCAAAACUCUAAAAAACAANCUCAGUUCAGAUUGCAGGCUGCAACUCGCCUGCAUGAAGUCGGAAUUGCUAGUAAUCGUAGGUCAGCAUACUACGGUGAAUACGUUCCCGGGCCUUGUACACACCGCCCGUCAAACCAUGAGAGUUGGCAACACCCGAAGUCGGUAGUCUAACCGCAAGGAGGACGCCGCCGAAGGUGGGGUUGAUGAUUAGGGUUAAGUCGUAACAAGGUAAC